UGCAACCUGAGCUCAGAUGUGAUUACCCGCUGAACUAAGCA
rnacentral:rRNA from 1 species